ensembl:lncRNA
GUAAGUUUAAGGUGUGCAGUAUCAUGAUUUGACUUGCAUCUGUGGGACUUACUUUAACGAACCAGCUGCAGACCCAGGGCCUCGCUCGGGCCUCUCCAUGGUGGUGCCUUUCCACAGUUCUCCCUCGAAGCACUGCGAACCCCAUUUGUGGCACAGAAAGCCCCUGACUUCACACUCAGAAACCCACAGGCUGUGUCUCUCUGCUGCUCUGCCUCCCCUGCCCAGCCAGCUAGUGACUCAGCCAGGCAAAGAUACCUAACAGCUGGGCCCACCUCUUGGUGGGUGCUGAGCCAAUAGACACAACCAAGCCAAAAAUCGGGAGGAAGAAGGAUUUAUUCCUCAGAGCAAAUAGGAAGAACCCUGGGGAUCUCUCCCAAAGCAGGGUCUCCCCAAACAGCAAAUUUGGGGACGUUUUAAGCUAAGGGUAGAUGCUGAGGUGUGAGAGGGCUUGAGUAGAGAAUUCAGCACAGAACUGGGGCAAAGGUCGACAGAGUCCAGGCUCAGUGGGUUGAACUCGCAUCCUCUACCUGGUGGGGCCACGGCUCCUGCAGAGCUCGGUCGUGUAUCCUUAUGUGAGCUUUCCCCGGUGGUCCGGUGGAGUCCCCUCCUCCGCUGCAGGGGGAUUGCCUCUGAUCCCCGGUUGGGGAAAUAGCAUCUAACAAGCUGCUUGGUGAGGAAAUGUUGAGUACUUUGCACACAUUAUUUUAUUGGAAUAAGGCGUUGUUCCUUCCAGGAGACGGAAGCUCAGAGAGGUGGAUCGAUUAAGGAGGAGCCAUCUUGUAGGAAGCGUGUCUGUGGUGAUCUUGCAGGAAUAAGCCCCCAGGGGCGGGACCCUGGUGGUCGAUCACGUUUGUAGACUGCAUGAGGCCUGGCCCAGCCCCAGGGACGUGUCCCACACGUAGGGAAUAUCACACGGUGUCUGUCUCUCGGUUUGACUGGCUUCACCCCGUGUGAUAAUCUCCAGGUCCAUCCAUGGUGCUGCAAAUGGCAUUUAUUUCAUCCUUCUUUAUGGCUGAGUCGUAUUCCUCAUCUGGAGAAGGAAAUGGCGACCCACUGCAGUGUUCCUGCCUGGAGAAUCCCGUGGACAGAGGAGCCUGGUGGGCCGCAGUCCAUGGGGUCGCAGAGUGGGACACGACUGAGCAACUAAGGCACACUCUGUGCACGUUAUCCGCGUGUAUUACACCAUGUAUGCUCACCUCUUCUCCAUCUAUCAGUGGCAUUUAGAUCGCUUCCAUGUCUUGGCUUCUACUGCUGUGCACACUGAGGUCAUGUGUCUUUUCGAAUGAGAGCUUUUCCAGAUACAGAGCAUAGGAACUUUUCCCUCUCAUUGUGAAUAAGCCCAGAUAAGCUUCCCCCUCCCAGAGCCAUGCCCUUUGCUAAAGAAUUUUCCUCCCCACUUAGCGCCUGUGAUUUGUCCCCUUCCUCGGGUCUGUGAGGAGCUCUUACAUUCUAGGCCCAAUGCAGGCGUUUUGCAGACACUGCUGGCAUCUGGGCUGGCAGGGUUUGUCGUGGGGGCGGUCCUGUGCAUUGCAAGGCACCGAGCAGCGUCUCUGGGCUCCGCCCGCUGGACGCCAACAGCACCUGCUCUCAGUUACGACGGCCGAACUUGUCUCCAGACUUCGCCAGCUGUUCCCUGAGAGUAAAAUCGCAUCCUCCUCCACUUGAGAACCACCGAGUCACUGGGAAGAAUUGUUUGCAGCUGUGGGAGCAGGAAGGGGGCUGGUGUGGGGCCUCUCCAGGGGGAAGUGACCAGAACCAGAUGCAUCGCUCUGAUCGUCACACUGCAGCUCACUUGCUGGCCAUGUGUUUUGAAUCUAGAGGGGGCCCCAGAGACUGCUUUCCCAUUGUCUUGGAAGUGCUGGCAAAUUCUGAGAAUGACCAGGCUCCUCUGCGCAGUGAAAGGGCAGGCUGGCGGAGCAGCAUCCUUAUCCAGAUGUGGGGGAAAAGCCCACAUUCUGGAGCAGAUGACCUGGCUUUGCACCCUGGCGCCAGUGAGCUGUGUGACGCUGAGCACGCGGCUUUACUCUCUGGGUCUGUUUCUCAGAGUGAAGCUGGGAGACUGAAAAUGCCGUGUGUGUGUGUGUGUGUGUGUGUGUGUGUGUGUCCGUGUGUGUGUGUGUGUGUGUGUGUGUGUCCGUGUGUGUGUGUGUGUCCGUGUGUGUGUCCGUGUGUGUGUGUGUGUGUUUUGCUCUUGCUGUGUUAUUAUGUUAGAAGCCACGCGGACUCCUGUGCAGCCUUCAGUUAAAGAGCACGGGUAACGUUCCCCAGGCCAGCGCCUGGGCCGCUGGUGGUCUCCACUGCCCUUGGUUUACAUGAUUUCACCGAGUCCUCAUCGCAACAUCAUCGUCCCGGUUUAUGGAUGAGAAGACUGAGGCUCCAGGAGGUGGAGUCACUUGCUGAAGAUCCACAUGUGCAGGACCAGCUGACCCAGGGAUGGGGCAGAGGGCCUGAGGCGCGAGCACAGUGCCUCCCCGGGACUCGUCCAGCCCUGGACACAGCCCCAUCGUGCCUGCUGCUCAGUGCAGUGCUCAGCACCCAGGGGCGCCGUCCACCGGGCAGACCCCUCUGGUGAAGCCUGGCCCCAGGGCUGUCCCUCUGGGCCACAGCAGCGGCCGACCACUGACUUCUUGGAGAAAAGCUCUGUAGCUGGU